UACGUAGGGUGCAAGCGUUAAUCGGAAUUACUGGGCGUAAAGCGCGCGUAGGUGGUCAAGUAAGCGUACUGUGAAAGCCCCCGGGCUCAACCUGGGAACUGCAGGACGAACUGCUUGACUAGAGUAUAGUAGAGGAGUGUGGAAUUCCCGGUGUAGCGGUGAAAUGCGUAGAUAUCGGGAGGAACAUCAGUGGCGAAGGCGGCACUCUGGACUGAUACUGACACUGAGGUGCGAAAGCGUGGGUAGCGAACAGG
rnacentral:rRNA from 1 species